GUAAGGAAUAUUGGUCAAUGGAGGCAACUCUGAACCAGCCAUGCCGCGUGAAGGAUUAAGGCCCUCUGGGUUGUAAACUUCUUUUAUAUGGGAAGAAAUGUACUUUUUCUAAAGUGCUUGACGGUACCAUAGGAAUAAGCACCGGCUAACUCCGUGCCAGCAGCCGCGGUAAUACGGAGGGUGCAAGCGUUAUCCGGAUUUACUGGGUUUAAAGGGUGCGCAGGCGGAUGAAUAAGUCAGUGGUGAAAUCUCCGAGCUUAACUCGGAAACUGCCGUUGAUACUAUUUGUCUUGAAUAUUGUGGAGGUAAGCGGAAUAUGUCAUGUAGCGGUGAAAUGCUUAGAUAUGACAUAGAACACCAAUUGCGAAGGCAGCUUGCUACACAAUCAUUGACGCUGAGGCACGAAAGCGUGGGGAUCAAACA
rnacentral:rRNA from 1 species